rnacentral:lncRNA from 1 species
CAGUACUGUUUAUUAUUCAACUCCCCAGGAGCCAGAAUCCAGACGCUGGGAAAUGUGAAUGUUCCAACAUGGCUGACCAUCAUGGAAUGAGAUCAACAGAUGGAAAUAGGAGUCUUCAUCUUCUUCAUCUUGGUCCUGAGGCUCCAUCAGCCAGGUUUCCAGCACACAUUAAACCCAGAGCCUAGCCCUUGCCCCACGUGGCACCUUCCUCACAGACCUCACUGAGCCAUCUGGAGUUCCCCAG